GAUGAACGCUAGCGGCAGGCCUAAUACAUGCAAGACGAACGGUAAGUUGAGUAGCAAUACUUAGCCAAGAGUGUCGUACGGGUGCGUAACACGUAUGCAACCUACCUUCAACUGGAGGAUAGCCCGGGGAAACUCGGAUUAAUACUCCAUAACACAGGGAUCCCGCAUGGGAAUAUUGUUAAAGCUACGGCGGUUGAAGAUGGGCAUGCGUUCGAUUAGCUAGUUGGUGUAGGUAACGUCUCACCAAGGCUACGAUCGAUAGGGGGUCUGAGAGGAUGAUCCCCCACACUGGUACUGAGAUACGGACCAGACUCCUACGGGAGGCAGCAGUAGGGAAUAUUGGACAAUGGGCGCAAGCCUGAUCCAGCCAUGCCGCGUGAGUGAUGAAGGCCGUUAGGGUUGUAAAGGACUC
rnacentral:rRNA from 1 species